UGUCUCCUACGGGACGCAGCAGUGGGGAAUAUUGCACAAUGGGGGAAACCCUGAUGCAGCAACGCCGCGUGAGUGAAGAAGUAUUUCGGUAUGUAAAGCUCUAUCAGCAGGGAAGAAAAUGACAGUACCUGACUAAGAAGCCCCGGCUAACUACGUGCCAGCAGCCGCGGUAAUACGUAGGGGGCAAGCGUUAUCCGGAUUUACUGGUGUAAAGGGAGCGUAGACGGCUGCGCAAGUCAGAAGUGAAAGCCCGGGGCUCAACCGCGGGACUGCUUUUGAAACUGUGUUUCUUGAGUACUGGAGAG
rnacentral:rRNA from 1 species